rnacentral:misc_RNA from 1 species
AAUUGUGGAGAAACCGGGCGUGUCAAUAAAACGAUGCAAUGUGGUGGCGAGGAUUCCUCAUUAAGAUAUAAGAGAAAUAUGUCCGAUAAACGAAGGCGAAGGAAAGGUGUUGGAGAAGAAUCUGAGGGAUCUGAUCUAUCUGAGACUGAACCUGAUACAAAGGCCCUGGCAACUGAGCACGGGGAUUCUGAAUAUGAAAGUGCCGAUGACAACAUUGUUAACAGUCCGAAGCAUGUUGGUAAAGUGGAGGAUGUAGAGGAUGAUGAGGAUGAAGAAGAGAACGUAGAUGUAGACCUUGACGUUGUAGAAGAGGAUUUAGACUAUGACGGUGAGAACGAUGAGGAGGAUGGAGGUGGCGAGGAACCUUUUCCUGAAGUAGUCAGAGAGGAUGAUAAUGUAGAAGGAUCCCAAACACCAGUAGAUGAUGACGAGGAUAAAAAGAAUCCCCAGUAUAUUCCUAAAAAAGGAAUGUUUUACGAGCAUGAUAACAGACUUGGUACAGAUGAAGAGGAUAAUGUAGAAGAAACUCCGGAAGAUAAAAAGAAGAUUUGGAAAGCUGACGUUGUUGAAAGAUGGGGCCACGACAAGUUUGCUGAGUUUGAUCAGGAACCUAAAUCUAAAGACGAAUUGGUUGAAUCUUAUGGCUAUGAUAUAAGAAACGAAGAUAAUGCUCCAAGAGCCCGAAGAAGAAGGCGCUACGGCAGAGGACCUAAUAAGUACACCAGGAACUGGGAGGAUGAAGAUGCAUAUUCUAAACCAGUUGCGGGACAGAAGCCGAGAAAUCCUGGUUCAAAAGAUAAAUCUGGGAAUGACCAGUUAGAAGACUUUCCUGCUUUGCCAAGCAGAGAUGAAAAUGAUAAACCUAAUAAGUCGUCCAUAAAAAGUGAAAGUCUGAAUUCCGAGUUGAAGCCAGCAGUUGUUCGUGAUGUACCUAGAGCGAGUGCAGACAGAGAAGAUGGUUUCAGGCAUGAUAGGCGAGGCCGUGGAAAUGAUGAUGGCAUGAGAUCGAGAGGGAGGGGAGGUAGAGGAAUGCGAGGAGGAGGUUAUGAGCAGUCUAGGAGAGGAGGAGACCGAGGUAGAGGUGCAGAUCGGGGUCGGCCUGUAGGCUUUGGAAGGGGAGGAUACGAGGAUAGGAAGCGAUACAAUGAUAGACACGGUGGACAUGAUGAUAGAGGUUAUGAGGAUGAAUACCGUGGAGGGCGCGGGGGUAGAUCAAGAGGCAGGGGAAGUCGUGGUUUCGACGGAAUGGAACAAAAGCAGGGAAGAAGACACAUAAAGGACCCAGGUCUAACUCCUAGAACAGAGGAAUUAGGAGAUCAGGUCGCAAAUCUUGAUAUAAACAAGGAAAAUGAAAAUAGUGUUCCCCGAGGUAGCAAAAGAUAUUCGCAUCAGCGCAAGGGAGGAAUUGAAGUUCAGUCUUUAAGUUCUGAACAACAAAACCUUCAGGAGAUGCUAAAUGAAGGAAUUAAUCCAGCCAUGUGCUCCGGUCCUCCCAGUGGAGCUCCCUUCCAAUCUCAGAUACCCUCCCAGCGGUUACCACAUAACAAUAUAGUUUCACACUCAGGGGUAAGACCCGUUCCAGCAGCAUAUAUUCAAACAUCUCAGAUUAUGAACUUUAAUCCUCAAUACCCGGUCCCUGUCACCGUCUCAGCUGUAUCUCUUCCCAUGGGGGUAGGUGGAGUGCCAUUGGCUACUAUCCCUGCUAUGACCUCCAAUGGUGGGCCUCAAAUAAUUGGUCCUGGUUUCGCUAACGGACCUGACGCCGUAAUGCUAGCAGCCGCGCAACCUGGUCCAGAUGGAUUUGCUGCUGUUCGUGGAGGUGUUACAUACUUCAACCCUACAGCACAAAACAUUCUUCCUCAAAGACCGGUAUCUAAACGACCUAAGGCUGCUAUUCCCAUAGUGGAUCCGUCUGUGGUGGAAACAAAAGACUAUAUUGUUGAAAGUUCAAGACAAGAGCUUCCAUCUCAACUCUGAUUUUCAACAACAACAAAAACAAUCAACUCUUGCACAUAACAUUAAAAAAAUCAGAUUCUUACAAAUAGUGGUGGACUUCGUUUUAACAUCGUAUUUAACCAUUCAAGGUGAUUUGGCAGCUUGGAAACUAUGAAUCAGAUGAUGAGGAUUUUUCAAUCGGCCACCCUGGGAGGGGGGGGGGUGUCUUAUUUUAUUUGGGUUCUACACUCGAUAGGCAAUAAAAAUCGUGAAACGAGGAAGUUUUUUCACAGCUCAUGUUUUCUACACAAAACAAUAAAAUCACGGAAUAUUUUCGGAAAUGGAGCUAA